rnacentral:rRNA from 1 species
CCUACGGGGGGCUGCAGUCGAGAAUUUUGGGCAAUGGACGAAAGUCUGACCCAGCAAUGCCGCGUGCGGGAUGAAGGUCUUCGGAUUGUAAACCGCUGUCGAGGGGGACGAAAAUUGACGGUACCCCUGGAGGAAGCCACGGCUAACUACGUGCCAGCAGCCGCGGUAAUACGUAGGUGGCGAGCGUUGUUCGGAUUUAUUGGGCGUAAAGGGUCCGCAGGGGGUUGAUUAAGUCUGACGUGAAAUCCCUGAGCUCAACUCAGGAAUUGCGUUGGAGACUGGUUGACUAGAGUAUUGGAGAGGUAAUUGGAAUUCCAGGUGUAGCGGUGGAAUGCGUAGAUAUCUGGAAGAACAUCGAAAGCGAAGGCAGAUUACUGGACAAUGACUGACCCUCAGGCACGAAAGCAUGGGGAGCAAACAGGAUUAGAUACCCCUGUAGUC